CUGCAUUUGCAUGUAAAGGUGAAAGUCAUACAUACUGAACUAUAAAAUGACUCUGCAGUUCAGCUCCUGUUUGACCGGUAGUACAGGUUUGAUUGAAUGCCAGUUAAAUCUUUCACCAAUUCAGUUAAAUUUGAAUUGAAUCGGACAUUGGUUAGGUCUGCACCUCCUCCUGUUGAUAAAACUCCUUAUUGGAAAACAGACCUCAAGCUCAAUAUAUGGAUGCCGGUGGGCGGAGUUGGGAGGGUCGUCAGCUACAUGGGAAACACCUGGGCCCGGUGUCUCCCAGGAUAAAUACCCCACUUCCCCAUUCAUGGAAGAGACUCUCUCCAUGCAGACACACCUGGGCCCGGUGUCUCCCAGGAUAAAUACACCACUUCCCAAUUCAUGGAAGAGACUCUCUCCAUGCAGACACACCUGGGCCCGGUGUCUCCCAGGAUAAAUACACCACUUCCCAAUUCAUGGAAGAGACUCUCUCCAUGCAGACACACCUGGGCCCGGUGUCUCCCAGGAUAAAUACACCACUUCCCCAUUCAUGGAGGAGACUCUCUCCAUGCAGACACACCUGGGCCCGGUGUCUCCCAGGAUAAAUACACCACUUCCCAAUUCAUGGAAGAGACUCUCUCCAUGCAGACACACCUGGGCCCGGUGUCUCCCAGGAUAAAUACACCACUUCCUCAUUCAUGGAGGAAACUCUCUCCAUGCAGACACACCUGGGCCCGGUGUCUCCCAGGAUAAAUACACCACUUCCCCAUUCAUGGAGGAGACUCUCUCCAUGCAGACACACCUGGGCCCGGUGUCUCCCAGGAUAAAUACACCACUUCCCAAUUCAUGGAAGAGACUCUCCAUGCAGACACACCUGGGCCCGGUGUCUCCCAGGAUAAAUACACCACUUCCUCAUUCAUGGAGGAAACUCUCUCCAUGCAGACACACCUGGGCCCGGUGUCUCCCAGGAUAAAUACACCACUUCCCCAUUCAUGGAGGAGACUCUCUCCAUGCAGACACACCUGGGCCCGGUGUCUCCCAGGAUAAAUACACCACUUCCCCAUUCAUGGAGGAGACUCUCUCCAUGCAGACACCUCUACAGAUGUUGUGUAUCUUGGAGGCCUUCUGGUUGUCUGCUUUGGCACCUUUCAACACCCUGCAUUAUCACAUUCAUGCAUGCAAAACACUCACUUACACUACUGAUUACUGAUUACACACACCAUUGUAUAUUGUACUUAGUUUACUUUAUUAAAUAUAUGUUUUGUUA